rnacentral:rRNA from 1 species
GGUUUNAAUUAANCUNGGUAACGCAGNUAACGCGUGAAGUAGACCGCCUGGGGAGUACGGUCGCAAGAUUAAAACUCAAAGGAAUUGACGGGGACCCGCACAAGCGGUGGAUGAUGUGGAUUAAUUCGAUGCAACGCGAAGAACCUUACCUACCCUUGACAUGUACGGAAGACCGAAGAGAUUUGGUUGUGCUCGAAAGAGAACCGUAACACAGGUGCUGCAUGGCUGUCGUCAGCUCGUGUCGUGAGAUGUUGGGUUAAGUCCCGCAACGAGCGCAACCCUUGUCAUUAGUUGCUACAUUUAGUUGAGCACUCUAAUGAGACUGCCGGUGACAAACCGGAGGAAGGUGGGGAUGACGUCAAGUCCUCAUGGCCCUUAUGGGUAGGGCUUCACACGUCAUACAAUGGUACAUACAGAGGGCCGCCAACCCGCGAGGGGGAGCUAAUCCCAGAAAGUGUAUCGUAGUCCGGAUCGCAGUCUGCAACUCGACUGCGUGAAGUUGGAAUCGCUAGUAAUCGCGGAUCAGCAUGUCGCGGUGAAUACGUUCCCGGGUCUUGUACACACCGCCCGUCACACCAUGGGAGCGGGUUUUACCAGAAGUAGGUAGCUUAACCGUCAAGGAGGGCGCUUACCAGCGGUAGGAUUCGUGAGCUGGGGUGAAGUCGUAACAAGGUACC